rnacentral:tRNA from 1 species
GGCUCGGUGGUGUAGUUGGUUAUCACGUCAGUCUAACAACUGUUGGCACACUGAAGGUCCCGAGUUCAAACCUCGGCUGAGUCA